GACGAACGCUGGCGGCGUGCCUAAUACAUGCAAGUCGAGCGAAGCGGCGGAUGGGUGAGUAACGCGUGGGUAACCUGCCCUUAAGUCUGGGAUACCAUUUGGAAACAGAUGCUAAUACCGGAUACUAAAGGAUGGACCUGCGAUGCAUUAGCUAGUUGGUAAGGUAACGGCUUACCAAGGCGAUGAUGCAUAACCGGGUGGAGAGAAUGAUCGGCCACAUUGGGACUGAGACACGGUCCAAACUCCGACGGGAGGCAGCAGUGGGGAAUAUUCCACAAUGGACGAAAGUCUGAUGGAGCAAUGCCGCGUGAGUGAAGAAGGUCUUCGGAUCGUAAAGCUCUGUUGUUGGUGAGGCGGUAAUCACCCAAUAAGCCCCGGCUAACUACGUGCCAGCAGCCGCGGUAAUAC
rnacentral:rRNA from 1 species